CCUACGGGAGGCACCAGUGGGGAAUAUUGCACAAUGGGCGCAAGCCUGAUGCAGCCAUGCCGCGUGUAUGAAGAAGGCCUUCGGGUUGUAAAGUACUUUCAGCGGGGAGGAAGGUGUUGUGGUUAAUAACCACAGCAAUUGACGUUACCCGCAGAAGAAGCACCGGCUAACUCCGUGCCAGCAGCCACGGUAAUACGGAGGGUGCAAGCGUUAAUCGGAAUUACUGGGCGUAAAGCGCACGCAGGGGGGCUGUCAAGUCGGAUGUGAAAUCCCCGGGCUCAACCUGGGAACUGCAUUCGAAACUGGCAGGCUAGAGUCUUGUAGAGGGGGGUAGAAUUCCAAGUGUAGCGGUGAAAUGCGUAGAGAUCUGGAGGAAUACCGGUGGCGAAGGCGGCCCCCUGGACAAAGACUGACGCUCAGGUGCGAAAGCGUGGGGAGCAAACAGGAUUAGAUACCCUGGUAGUC
rnacentral:rRNA from 1 species